GCGCAAGGUCGUAACAUUCCUGAGCAGAGCUGCUUCAGUGCUAGGAGCGCUUUAAUACAAUACACAGUCGGUGUGUGUUAAAGGUGCAAUAUAUAUAUAUUUUAAUUCCUUACUUGUACUUUAACCUGGAAGAUUAGAAGAGUAGAACAUGAAAAAAGCCGUGGCCUUAGCAAAAGUGUACUAAGCGGAUGAGAAAAUGUGUACUAAGCAUUUGGAAAACUGACUUCCGGUCCGGAAAGUUGUUUGUGUUUGGAUGUGCUGCCUGUCAGUCAUUUUAUAAGCGUUGUAUAUGUGCUCUAAUGUGAUCUUGCCUCCCUCCACCAAAGUUAAAUUCCAAUACUCAAGAACGCAAGAACGGAGGACGCGUGAAAUUACCCGGGUGUGUUCUUGAUAUCGCGGACGCAUCGGAUACAGACUUGAACGAAUCGAACGCACUUGAAGUCCCAGAAGUCAUUGCAGCAAAACAAUGGCGGAUGACGGAAGCCUGACCCAUAACUUGUUGAAUUUAUUGUCCAUUUGGCGGUCCUGUCCCACUACUAGAAAUGUGCCGGGACGGUCCAUUGCACAACAGGAAGAUCGCAGCACAGCUCAGUUCUCGUAAAGACACAAGAUGUCCUGUCCUUCUGAGUUCUUCCAAGAUUUACGAGUGAAAGGUUGGAUUUGUGCUGCGUCACGUUGCUUCAUCGAGACGCUAAAGGUCUACAUCAGCUUUCCACACAGAAAUGCGCUGACGUGCUGCGCAGCGUGUUUUACUGUGGCUCAUUGGAAGUGUCGUGGAAAUUUAUGGCAUCAAUUCGCACAUUUGGAAACAGGCGAGUGGUUUCUCCUCCAUGGAAAGACAAGUUUAUGUUCCUGUUCCUGUGCUUGGAUGAAAUUGUUCAACGCCAGAGUAACAGGGUACACACAAACACAAUGGACCAGCUAUUUUACCUCGAGUUUUUUAAAAACCUGAGCUGAAUUGCUUACAGGAACACUGUGUAAAUGUAAUACAGGUUUAUUCAGCACAACACUGGCAUACAUAAUGAUGCCAGAUUGCACACUUGUAUCGAUGUGUGAUACAUCUCUCGGCUUUCGGAUUCGCCUGAUUCAUCCUGAUGCUCAGCACUUAUGACUCACUUGCUGUAAAUGGUCCCACAUAAAAUAGAGUUCCAAGGUUUAGGGACCACCAGUAGGCUUUUUGAAAAAGAAAAAAAAAAGUUUCCAUCUACCACUCUAAAGCGUGAUGCUUCAGUUUUUCCAGUAGAUGUUUUCUGAGUUUAACUGAGAACAUCCUGUGACUGAGGUAGGACCUAAACCAGCUGUGCCUUCACAUGCCUUCACAGGCCAACCACGCUCAAGGCAUUUAAUGAGAAUAUUAUGAUCUGCUACAGCAGUCGUCAAAUGUCGGACCAUGGCUCAGAUGUGGACCGAGCAAAGUCAGACUGAAUAUUUGAAAAUAUCACAAAUUGUUAAGUAUUGAAAGGUAACUGGUGUCGCCAUUCAGUCAUGUUAGUUGCAGGCCAUAUAAGCAAAGAAUUUUAUGUUGUAGUCUACCAAGCAACAAUUCACUCACCUUUAACAAGACAGACUUUGUGCUACGAAAGGUUUUAAAACCAGACUGAAAAUAUUCAAACAUCUACCUCUUUAAGAUGACAGAGAACUACUUUAGUGGAGGAUUACGUACAUUCUAUGAUUUAAAUUUCCAUAAAACUACAGUGCCAGAGCUCGGCUCCGCCCCACUGAGCUCCCUCUACUUCAUACAAUUCAUGAAGAAUUGUUUCAGACUGUAAGAAAAUAAAUACGAACCUGAAAACUGAAAAAGAGUGAGAGAAUGUGGAUUGGUUUAGUUUCCCUCACCUUGGGU